AAAAUUUAAAGUACUUAUAAUCUUUCUUUCUUUAAUAAUAUAAAAUUAUAGUUGUGGUUACCGGCGGAGAAAUAUGUUGUCGUACAUGUGAGAUAUGUAACUUUAUUAAUAUAUAUAUAUAUAUAUAUAUACACUAUACCAGAAAUAUUCGUGAAAAUGAUCUAUUAUUAUCAAGUUUAUUUGUAGCAUAAGGUUAUGAGAAUAGUAUAAAUGGGUUGUUUAUUGAAUAAAAUGAUAUAAGGAUAAAUUCAUAUCCAAUGCUGGCUACGGUAGCCAGUUAGUUAGAAAAUUUGCUGUUGCAAAAGUUUCGACCCAAAAAUGUUUUCGCGCAUCAGCUUCAUUAACAUGGCUAAUCUGAGUUCCACUGCAUGCCUUUGUUUGCGUUCAGCAACACUAUUCUGUUAUGGUGUUCCGGAUAUAAAUUACAUUACUUGAUCAGUUCUGAAAUUAUCAAAUCCGACGAGUUAAUUAAGCUUGAGCAUUAUAUUUGCUCUUCUGUGAUGCUUCUGUGCUUCUGGCAAUUAAGAAUAACCACUAAUGGGUUAGAAACCAUUUGCUGCACCAGUUAUGGGUUAUGUCUAAUCCUGUACCAGAUCCUACCCAUUAACACCCCUUUUGUUACAUGCUUUCAUCUUUUGAUACCUGAUUCUACAACACAUGAGCUUACAUUGCUUACAAUCUUAUUAUGAUUUACCAACUGAGGUGAAAGACACAUUAACGAACUAUAUUCAAAAGUUUAAUCUCAUUCGCUCAUUAAGCGAUGGAUGAGAUUAAGCCCUUCAUAUUUAAUUCGUCAGCGUAUCUUUCACUUGAGUCAGACACACAUUGUAUCUAUUUAUCGAUCUAUCACAGGUAAACGGUUUAUUUGUACUCGCUGGUAUCGGGCACCUGCAUUUCGGCCCCCCACCCGUCCUCGACGGCGGGGGCGGGCGGCAUGAUGCGCUUCCAGAGCCAGUGCCGCCUCCAGAGCAGCACCAUCUCCUCGAUCGGGAUGCCCUUCGUCUCCGGCAGAAAGACGUAGACGAACACCGUCAUGAUGGUGAUCCAGCCCGCGAAGAAGAGGAAGAUGCCGAACUUGAGGUUGCAGAGGAGGGAGAGGAACGCCUGCGCGAUCACGAAGGUGAAGAAGAGGUUGACGGCCACCGUGAUGCUCUGCCCGGCCGACCGCGUCUCCAGCGGGAAGAUCUCGCUCGGCACCGUCCACCCCAGCGGGCCCCACGACCACCCGAACGCCGCCACGAAGAGGCACACCACGACGACGACGAUGAUCGAGAACUCCUUCGACAGAUGCUUGUCGUUGCCGAAUUUCAGGCCCAGGAUGACAGCCACUAUGACCUGUUCCACAAAGUCGACGCCGAGUUCAGUCUGUCUUUGGAUUCUGAUACAGUUCUUGCUCAGUAGAGAGCUGUCAGGACAAAGUUACUGAUAACUUUAUCCAUCAAGAUCCACAAAAUGCUUUCUGAUCCAGUUAGAAGCAGAAUAUAAAAGCAAUUCACUGAUCCUACUAAAGCCAAAACCUGAAAUGAGCUUGAAAAUUUGAAUUCUAGCAGUUUUAAAAACCUCUAAUUCGAAGCUCCUAUUUCUAGCUGCCUCAUGCAAGAACUACAAGAAGUACUUAUCGCGGUGGCGGCGACCAUAAAUUUUCUUGAAAUUGAAGCUUCUGCUUUUAGAUAUAAACAUGUCCUGUUUCUUUAUGUCCUGACACAAAAAUUUACCUGACAUAUGAUCAUCUGAAUGCCGCCGCUUAUGAGCAGUACCCUCCGUCCCCACCGAUCGACGGUGGCGAUCGAGAUGAGCGUCGACAAGGCGAGCACGGCCCCUGUCAUGACCGACGAAUACAGCGACGCGUUCCCUCCAAAGCCCAUGCUCUGGAACAGCACGGGCGCGUAGAACAAUAUGGAGUUGAUCCCCGUGAGUAUCUGAAACGUCGGCAUGAAUAUCGCCAUCACGAGUUGUGGCCGGUUCCUCGCUUCUAGAAUGUUUCUGAUAUAAAACAACUGGUUACUCUAAAAACUUCGCUAGAUUUCUUAUGAUGUCGUGUAAAAUAACUGGUUAUUCUUGAAGCUUAGGCUGAUAGAGAGCGAUGCAUGACUAUUUAUUUUGUAGCAGCGAACACCUGAAAGGGUGCUUGAUGGAGUUUGCGAGCUCGCUCGCCUCGAUCAUGUCUUGGAACUCAGCCUCCACAUCGGCAGUGCCUCUGAUCCGUUCUAGGAUGCGGCGUCCCUCCUCGACACGGCCCUGCUCGAUGAGGCUGUUGGGGGUCUCCGGGAGGAGGAAGCCGCCGACGGUCAUCAGAAAAGCCGGGGCAGCCGCAAGGCCUAGGGAGAGACGCCACCCCCACGGCUUGAUCUUCCCGGUGCCGUAGUUGAUCAUGUUCGCGGUGAAGAUGCCGAGGGUGGUCGCGAGCUGGAACAUCAUGUUCAGGCCGCCACGAAGGUGCGCCGGUGCCAUCUCCGACAAGUAGAGUGGGACGGCCUUCAGAAAUCAAGGAAACACAUAGUUACGUGAUAAAUCUCAUGAAACGCACGUAACGAAUUUUCUAUUCAUCGCUGACAUGACUUAGCCAGACCGACUUCUGAAAUUUCUAUUCAAAUCAAAGAUUAAAAUAAGUUUUAUAUUGUUGAAGAAAUAAAGUCAUGUCAGUAGUGAGUAGAAAAUUUCUGCUAUGAUGCACAAAUAGUACCUGGUUACCGAAGCCAAUGCCGACGCCGAGCAUGAUGCGGCCCAGGAGCAGCAUGGCGAGGUUGGCGGCGGCGGCGUUGAGGGUGGCGCCGAUGAGGAAGCUGAUGCCGCCGCAGAUGAUGCUGACUCUGCGGCCGUACUUUCGGGUGACGGGGGAGGCGCCGAUGGAAGCGACGAGGCCGGCAAGAUAAAGAGAGGACGUGAAGGCGGCGAGGCCCUGGUUGUCGUACUUGCAGUAGUUGUUCUGGCUGCCGGAGUUUUUCCGGCGGUAGACCACCGGAAAGAACUUCUCCAGAAAUGGGUCCAUGGAUGUCACCCCGCCUUGCAGUAGUUCAAAUCAAAGUCAAAUGUUAGAUUAGAAAAAGAAAAAAAAAUAGUAAAUUUGAAUGUGAAUUAAAUUUGAUUUGCAUACAUGCAUGGAUGUAAAACUAUCACGUUUGUUCAUUCAUGUGAAAAUUUAAAAGUAUAAAGAGAUUUCUAAAUAUCUCUGCUUCUCUUUAUAAAUAUCUCUGCUAUAUAUAGAUACGAGAAAUUUUUCUUCAAAAGCUUAACGUAUCGACAAUAUGAUGAGAUUCGAAAUUAGACCAUCCUACUUUUAAUGUCAUAUCAAAUUAUAUGAAUAUUUAUUUUUCUUCAUAGGUUUAAGUUGCUGAAGAACGAUAUUUUUCAUAUAUAUAUAUAUAUAUAUAUAGAAUUAGGCUACUAUACUAUUAAUAGCACCAAGUUAUUGGUGCUACCAAGUUUUUGACCAUUGGAUUAAAAAAUGUGUGGCUAGGAUGAUGUGGGCCCCCAAGGGUUAAGUGGAUGGUUGGUUGAAUAGUAUGAUCUAACGGGUGAAAAUAAUCAAAAGGGUAGAUCUAACGGUAAAAAACUUGAUAGCACCAAAUACUUCGUGCUAUUAAUAGCAUACCAGCCGGACUAUAUAUAUAUAUAUAUAUAUAUAUAUAUAUAUAUAUAUAUAUAUAUAUAUUAUAUAUAUAUAUAUAUAUAUAUAUAUAUUCAGUAUGUUUUGGAUCAUCCAUAUAUACAUAUAUAUUAUUCGGUCUAAAUUUAUGGAUCUGAAAUUUUAGUUUGAGAAAUUUCUAAUAGAUUUUAUGAUAUCAUUGGCGUCAACCAUUAAUUCCAAAAGUUCGAGCUGUUAGAAAAAUAUGACUAAUUCACUUAAAGCGUAUAAACAUAGCGUCUACGAGUUUGGACUGUGACUCAGCUCAACCAACCUCUAGCUAUUUCGAACAUGACUUGGUCCAAUCCGACCUUCCGUAAUUUCGAACGUGACUUGACCUAAUCUGGCCUCUCGCCACAGGGCAAAAUGUUGGCUCUCUUAAACUAAGAGGUAUGUUAUAUGAAAAUAAAAAUUAAAGUACCUAUAAAAUUAAACGAGAUUGUUUACUUCCACUUUAUUUCUAGGGAUGGGGCAUCGCUAUUGAUAAUCGGGACGUUAAACACAAUUUAGACUAAUUGAACUUCAUAUAAACCAAAUAUUAUAAAGUUUAAGAUAUCAGUUAUCUAGUGAUCAAGAGAUAUUAAAUCGACCUUAUAUUAUUAGCCAUUAAAGCUUUAUAUGGAUGUCGGAAUAAAAUAUCAAAUAAUUAUUUAUUCAAUAUAAAAUAAUUUUUUAUAUGAUUGGAAGUAAGUAGUUUAAUUUUUUAUUUUUUAAAAAAUUUUGAUUUUAAAAAAUAACAUAUUUCACCGGCGAGACGAUUUAUAUUAUUCUAAAAAUAUAAAAUAAAAAUCAAAUAUUACAUUCAUUUUAGAUAUUUGAUUAUAUUUCUUAUUUACCAAAUACUACACAUAUUUUGAGUAAAUCUAAAAAUCAUACAAGAUAAGAUGUUUAUACAUCCAUGUGUGACAAAAAACGAUUAAUUUUGAAACCACUCGAUUAUUAAGCAAAUAUUGUGGAGAAAACUAGCUGUCUCAUUAAAAUAUCGAGCCGAAAAAUUCAACUCGUGCUCGGCUCGUUAAUAAACAAGCCGGACACGAGUUGGCCAACAAAUAAUAAGUUAAAUGGAUUAGAUUAAAUAUAUAUAAAAAAUAAAUUUAUAAAAUCUUACCAUUAGACUUUGAUCUAGUGGUUGAAAUUUUACAUACAAAUGAGUCUUUUAACUCGAUUUUAUAUUUUUUGCAAAAAAUUAAAUAAUAAAAAUAUAUAUAUAUAUAUAUUAUAUAUAAUUAUUUAUUUAUAUAUAUAAAUAUAAAUUAAAUAAAUUAUAUAAAUAUAAAAUAUAUGUAUUCGAGCUGUUAUUGAGCCAAACACGAGCAAGUUGACACCGGCUCGUAUUCGGCUCGUUUAUUAAACAAGCUGAAAAAUUCAGCUUGUUUUUGGCUCAUUUACUAAACGAGCAAUUCGAUUUCGAGCUCACUUCAAGCCAAAUACGAGUUGGCUCGCGAACAACGAGCUGGAUUGUUACCCUACUCCUAACCUGGUGGCUGGAGUGGGUGUAGAAAAUAUUCUCUAAUCUUGCAACUUUUUUUUUACUAUUAUUCAAAAACGCACACCUUAUGCAUUACACCUAAAAUUUGAUAAUUAGUAUGUGAAAUUAAAAUCUUAUUAAUUUCUAAAAUCACCAGUAGAGAUAGAUCCACUGUUUGAUUUAUAAAAAAAUUACUAUUCAAACUUUAUCUGUACUGUAUUAUUAUUAUUGCUAAUAUGGCAACAAUAUUGGAAACAACCAAAUUUAAAUAAUUAGAAAAGGUUUAGAACUGAAUUGCGAUAUUAGAAGGUUAGGGAUUCAAUUGAAACUUAAGUAAAAGAUUAGAGACCUCCAUUUAGUUUAAUUUAGUUUAAGGAAUAGCAGUGCUGUUGAAAAAAAAUAUUGUAGAAAAUAACACUGUACUAUUAAAAAAGUUGUAGAACAUUUGGCUAUUUUUGUAAAAAUAUUAUGGAAAUUAAGUUGUUUGGUGAUAACUGUAAUAAUAAUUAUUAUAAACUAGUAAAAAAUGUAUUAAAAAAUAUAAAUUUAAUUUAGUGGUCCGAUUAGUUAUUUUCUAACAACAAUUUAAAAUUAAAAUUUAAAUGCAUUGGAGUUUAAAUUUGAAAUUAAAAAAUUAAUUUUAUAUCUAAAUUGAAUUUAAAAUCGAAAUUCAGAUUCACAUAUAUAUUUGAAAUUCAAAAUAAAAAAUUAAAAUUAAAAAUAGAAAUAAAAUUUAAAUUCCAAAAUAAAAUACUUAAAUUUAAAAUUUGAAUCCAAAAUAAAAAUUUACAUUUAAAAUUUGAAUCCAAAAUCAAAAAUUACAUUUAAAAUUUGAAUCCAAAAUCAAAUUUAAUAAACUUCAAAAUCAGAAUUUUAAUUUGAAAUUAGUAUAUAUCAAAUUUAAAUUAAAAAUAUUUAACAAUAAAUUUUAAAAUUUAAUUUAAUAUGUGAUUUAGUUUUAGAAUUUAAGUAUAAAUAUAAAUAUAAAUUUUAUUAAUUUUAGAUUAAAAAAAACAAACUUCUCAAAAAUAAAUUGGGGAACAAGAUAAAAAAAAACUUGUAAAUAUUGUGGACAAACAUUAUUAUUAAUCUAAAUUUCUACCGUAAAACAAGAAUUUAAGUUCCUAUCAGUACAAGCUAUAUCUAAUAUGCCGUAUCGCGCCAACAAAAUAUUACACAAUAUAGUCUCUGUGCCGAUAGCACAGCUCAAAACUUUUUAUUCCUUAAAUUAGUAGGUAGUUUUCUCAAUAAAAUUCAAAAUAUUUGAUAAAAAUAUAUAAUAAAUAGUUAUAAUAUUUUAUUACGAAAGAAAAUGAAUAUUUCAUGUUAUUAUAUAUCGGCAUACAUAUAUUUUUGAUGACCGAUACACAUCGAUACGGUCCAACACGCACCAUAUCGUGACUUGCCAGAAAAUUUAUAGCAUAACUCUAUAUCACGGCACUUAAAUUUUU
rnacentral:lncRNA from 1 species